UACGGAGGGCGAAAGCGUUGUUCGGAAUCACUGGGCGUAAAGCGCACGUAGGCCGAUUGGUCAGUUGGGGGUGAAAUCCCGGGGCUUAACCUCGGAACUGCCUUCAAUACUGCCAGUCUCGAGUCCGGAAGAGGUGAGUGGAAUUCCUAGUGUAGAGGUGAAAUUCGUAGAUAUUAGGAAGAACACCAGUGGCGAAGGCGGCUAACUGGUCCGGUACUGACGCUGAGGUGCGAAAGCGUGGGGAGCAAAAAGG
rnacentral:rRNA from 1 species